rnacentral:lncRNA from 1 species
UUCGGACAUGGAAGAGGGCAGUCUGAUGGUUCUGGAAGCUAUUGUAGAUUACACUAACGAUAUAUAUGCAGCUCGAGAUUGAACAAUUCCUACAAUGACAAUGGAUCAAAUGCCAAAUCAAGCUAAUAGGCAAGCAAAGGCGAAUUCCAUGGAAUCAACUGUCAAGUUAUCUAGACAUUAAAAGUACUGAGUAUGAAAGUUUUGCUUCAAAAUCUUUGCUUUCGAAGCUUUGAUGUAGUCUUAUAAAAGGGACUAAGCAAAUUACCUGAUUGUGGAAGAGAUUUCAUUUUUUCGAGCAUUUGUGCACUUCUUAGUGAUUCUGCAAACUGAUUGAACGACUCCUGCAAUAAUAAAAAAGCAAGGAGAAGUUUUCAAAGAUAACUGUCAGGCUAUCUAGACAGUAAGUAGUGUUUCCAAUAGCACGAUCUUCAUCUCUGAACGAAAAACAAAAAGCUACUGAAAUGAAAAAACAUGUUCACUUACAUGUAACAGCUUUCAUGACGGUGAAUAAUUUCCAUUCUGCAAUAUUUGAGGGAGAACAUAGGUUAAUAGACAAGAAAAAAGUCUUCACAAGAAUAUUAAUAUGCAAGUAAGAUGAAUAGUGAGAGACAUAACAAGAAUACAUGAAUGGCUACUGAGAUGAAUCUCCAAAGACAAUAAACACAUAUGAGCAUGGUAACAGAUUACUAGUUCAUUAGCAUUAAGCUAAGCUAUCAACUUUCCGGUGAAAAUUGUUUCAAUUCCUACCAACACCAGAUUUCGUUUUUUUAUCACCUUUGUUGUUUGUUGAAUUUGAAAAAAAUUAUAUUAUUAAAGAACAGCUAGUCACUACCGUUGUUAUUAUUAAUUUAUUUUGCAUUGACAGAUCUUCAUAACUAGUUGUAAUUUGACAAAUUGUAACAGCUGGUAAUUUCAUUACUAGUAGUUUUAAGAAAAUAUUGUACUACAAUUUUUGAAAUAUGAAUUAUCUAGUUCAAAUUUUGUGUCGUAACUUUUGGUUAUUUUAAAUAGUUUUUAGAACUUAUGGACAUAAAUUAUGUUUCAUGCUUUCUUUAAAAAUAAGAGUGAAAUAUGUUUCCUAAAGAUUUGGUUUCACAAAAACACUAGAGAAUCCAUUGGCUUCAGAGUGGCGACAGACACUUUGCUCUGCCUAAAGAUUUAUAAAAGGAAAAUAAUGAACAAACAAGCAAUGGGAAGUAAGUGGGAAAAGAAUAACUUACAUAUGUCGGAGCG